rnacentral:lncRNA from 1 species
UGCCCUAGGGCUAGUGGAAGACUUAAGAUGGCGGCGUUUGCACGGAGUGCAAUCACUGCGUCCUUACGGGGGUUGCAAGGCGUCCGAAGUAUGAGUCCAGUAACAAAAGGCCAGAAACUCGCCAGUUAAUAGUAUUGUGGUGAGUGAUGAGCCUCACGUUGGCUAGAGAAGUGGCCGUUAACGAGGCUACACACUUUGGGAUCGCGUGGCCUGAGUCGGGGGAGUAACCGGCCUGUAUUCCAUUUUUUCUCUCUCCAGUCUCUUCAAAAUAUCGGAGAAUAAUUUCUUUCUCGCUGAUCGCCUAACUUCUACUGACGAAGCUAGGAAGUUGCAGAAGGUUGGAGUGCAAUGGCGCGAUCUCGGCUGACUGCAACCUCCACCUCCUGGAUUCAAGCUAUUCUCCUGCCUCAGCCUGCCGAGUAGCUGGGAUUACAGGCAUGUGCCACCGCACCCAGCUAAUUUUGUAUUUUUUAGUAGAGAUGGGGUUUCUCCAUGUUGGUCAGGCUGGUCUUGAACUCCUGACCUCAGGUGAUCCGCCCACCUCA